GCCGGGCGCAGUGGCUCACGCCUGUAAUCCCGGCACUUUGGGAGGCUGAGGCAGGUGGAUCACCUGAGGUCAGGAAUUCAAGACCAGCCUGACCAACAUGGUGAAACCCUGUCUCUA
rnacentral:sRNA from 1 species